rnacentral:rRNA from 1 species
CUGGCGGCAUGCCUAAUACAUGCAAGUCGAGCGAAUGACGAAGAAGCUUGCUUCUUCUGAUUUAGCGGCGGACGGGUGAGUAACACGUGGGCAACCUGCCCUGUAGAUUGGGAUAACUCCGGGAAACCGGGGCUAAUACCGAAUAAUCCAUUUCCUCACAUGGGGAGAUGUUAAAAGACGGCAUCUCGCUGUCACUACAGGAUGGGCCCGCGGCGCAUUAGCUAGUUGGUGAGGUAACGGCUCACCAAGGCGACGAUGCGUAGCGGACCUGAGAGGGUGAUCGGCCACACUGGGACUGAGACACGGCCCAGACUCCUACGGGAGGCAGCAGUAGGGAAUCUUCCACAAUGGACGAAAGUCUGAUGGAGCAAUGCCGCGUGAGUGAAGAAGGUUUUCGGAUCGUAAAACUCUGUUGUGAGGGAAGAACAAGUACGAGAGUAACUGCUCGUACCUUGACGGUACCUCAUUAGAAAGCCACGGCUAACUACGUGCCAGCAGCCGCGGUAAUACGUAGGUGGCAAGCGUUGUCCGGAAUUAUUGGGCGUAAAGCGCGCGCAGGCGGUCCUUUAAGUCUGAUGUGAAAUCCCACGGCUCAACCGUGGAAGGUCAUUGGAAACUGGGGGACUUGGGUCACGAAGAGGAAAGCGGAAUUCCAAGUGUAGCGGUGAAAUGCGUAGAGAUUUGGAGGAACACCAGUGGCGAAGGCGGCUUUCUGGUCUGUAACUGACGCUGAGGCGCGAAAGCGUUGGG